rnacentral:tRNA from 1 species
GGUGAUGUAGCUCAAAUGGUAGAAUGCUCAUUUUGCAUGCGAGAGGUAUGGGGUUCGACACCCCAUAUCUCCA